UACGUAGGGUGCAAGCGUUAAUCGGAAUUACUGGGCGUAAAGCGUGCGCAGGCGGUUUUGUAAGUCUGUCGUGAAAUCCCCGGGCUUAACCUGGGAAUGGCGAUGGAGACUGCAAGGCUGGAGUUUGGCAGAGGGGGGUGGAAUUCCGCGUGUAGCAGUGAAAUGCGUAGAGAUGCGGAGGAACACCGAUGGCGAAGGCGGCGCUCUGGAACAUUUCUGACGCUGAGGCUCGAAAGCGUGGGGAGCAAACAGG
rnacentral:rRNA from 1 species